UACGAAGGAGGCUAGCGUUGCUCGGAAUUACUGGGCGUAAAGGGCGCGUAGGCGGAUAUUUAAGUUAGAGGUGAAAGCCCAGGGCUCAACCCUGGAAUAGCCUUUAAUACUGGAUAUCUUGAGUUCGGGAGAGGUGAGUGGAACUCCGAGUGUAGAGGUGAAAUUCGUAGAUAUUCGGAAGAACACCAGUGGCGAAGGCGACUCACUGGCCCGAUACUGACGCUGAGGCGCGAAAGCGUGGGGAGCAAACAGG
rnacentral:rRNA from 1 species